rnacentral:rRNA from 1 species
UACGGAGGGUGCGAGCGUUAAUCGGAAUUACUGGGCGUAAAGCGCACGUAGGCGGCCUGUUAAGCUGGAUGUGAAAGCCCCGGUCUCAACCUGGGAAUGGCUUCCAGAACUGUCAGGCUAGAGUACGGUAGAGGUGAGUGGAAUUUCCUGUGUAGCGGUGAAAUGCGUAGAUAUAGGAAGGAACAUCAGUGGCGAAGGCGACUCACUGGACUGGUACUGACGCUGAGGUGCGAAAGCGUGGGGAGCAAACAGGAUUAGAUACCCCCGUA